GAUGAACGCUGGCGGCGUGCCUAAUACAUGCAAGUCGAGCGAACAAACGAGGAGCUUGCUCCCCUCACGUUAGCGGCGGACGGGUGAGUAACACGUGGAUAACCUACCUCUAAGACUGGGAUAACUUCGGGAAACCAGAGCUAAUACCGGAUAAUAUAUUGAACCGCAUCGUUCAAUAGUGGAAAACGGUUUUGCUGUCACUGAUAGAUGGAUCCGCGCCGCAUUAGCUAGUUGGUAGGGUCACCAAUUACCAAGGCAACGAUGCGCAUCCGACCGCAGAGGGUGAUCGGCGGCAUUGGAACUUGGACACGCUCCCGACGCCUGCGAGAGGGCCCAGUAGGGAAUGUUACGCAAUAGGCGAAAGCCUUACGGAGCAGCGCCGCGCGAGUUAUGAAGGUCUUCCGAUCGUAAAACUCUGUUACGAGGUAAGAACCACUGUGUAAGUAACUAUGGCGAUCUUGACGGUACCUGAUCAGAAAGCCCCGGCUAACUACGUG
rnacentral:rRNA from 1 species